rnacentral:rRNA from 1 species
CUGCUGCCUCCCGUAGGAGUUUGGGCCGUGUCUCAGUCCCAAUGUGGCCGUUCACCCUCUCAGGCCGGCUACUGAUCGUUGCCUUGGUAGGCCAUUACCCCACCAACUAGCUAAUCAGACGCGGAACCAUCGUAUACCACCAGAGUUUUUCACACCGCUUCAUGCGAAGCUGUGCGCUUAUGCGGUAUUAGCACCUAUUUCUAAGUGUUAUCCCCCAGUAUACGGCAGGUUUUCCACGCGUUACUCACCCGUCCGCCA